rnacentral:rRNA from 1 species
GACGAACGCUGGCGGCGUGCUUAACACAUGCAAGUCGAACGGAGAGGCCUGCUUUCCCUUGUGGAUUGCGGGUACUCGAGUGGCGAACGGGUGAGUAACACGUGAGUGAUCUGCCCCCAACUUGGGUAUAAGCCUGGGAAACUGGGUCUAAUUCCCGAUAGGACUGCAGGGUGGUGCCUGUGGUGGAAAACGAUUUUCUAGUGGUUGGGGAUGAGCUCGCGGCCUAUCAGCUUGUUGGUGGGGUAAUGGCCUACCAAGGCGGCGACGGGUAGCCGGCCUGGGAGGGUGGACGGCCACAUUGGGACUGAGAUACGGCCCAGACUCCUACGGGAGGCAGCAGUGGGGAAUAUGGCACAAUGGGCGGAAGCCUGAUGCAGCGACGCCGCGUGGGGGAUGACGGCCUUCGGGUUGUAAACUCCUUUCGACCGCGAGGAAGCCACCUGGUUGGAAGGGUGGUGACGGUAGUGGUAGAAGAAGCACCGGCUAACUACGUG